rnacentral:piRNA from 1 species
UAGUAAGCAGGCAGAUGCAUGGCGGU